CAGUAGCCACGGGAAUACGAAGGGGGCUAGCGUUGUUCGGAAUUACUGGGCGUAAAGCGCACGUAGGCGGAUACUUAAGUUAGGGGUGAAAUCCCAGGGCUCAACCCUGGAACUGCCUUUAAUACUGGGUAUCUUGAGUUCGAGAGAGGUGAGUGGAAUUCCGAGUGUAGAGGUGAAAUUCGUAGAUAUUCGGAGGAACACCAGUGGCGAUGGCGGCUCACUGGCUCGAUACUGACGCUGAGGUGCGAAAGCGUGGGGAGCAAACAGGAUUAGAUACCCCCGUAGUCCCUGUCUCUUAUAC
rnacentral:rRNA from 1 species